AUACGUAGUUUGAUCAUGGCUCAGAACGAACGCUGGCGGCAUGCCUAACACAUGCAAGUCGAACGAGACCUUCGGGUCUAGUGGCGCACGGGUGCGUAACGCGUGGGAACCUGCCCUUAGGUUCGGAAUAACUCCUCGAAAGGGGUGCUAAUACCGGAUGAUGUCGAAAGACCAAAGAUUUAUCGCCUUUGGAUGGGCCCGCGUAGGAUUAGGUAGUUGGUGGGGUAAAGGCCUACCAAGCCGACGAUCCUUAGCUGGUCUGAGAGGAUGAUCAGCCACACUGGGACUGAGACACGGCCCAGACUCCUACGGGAGGCAGCAGUGGGGAAUAUUGGACAAUGGGCGAAAGCCUGAUCCAGCAAUGCCGCGUGAGUGAUGAAGGCCUUAGGGUUGUAAAGCUCUUUUACCAGGGAUGAUAAUGACAGUACCUGGAGAAUAAGCUCCGGCUAACUCCGUG
rnacentral:rRNA from 1 species